GAUGAACGCUGGCGGCGUGCCUAAUACAUGCAAGUCGAGCGAACGGACGAGAAGCUUGCUUCUCUGAUGUUAGCGGCGGACGGGUGAGUAACACGUGGAUAACCUACCUAUAAGACUGGGAUAACUUCGGGAAACCGGAGCUAAUACCGGAUAAUAUUUUGAACCGCAUGGUUCAAAAGUGAAAGACGGUCUUGCUGUCACUUAUAGAUGGAUCCGCGCUGCAUUAGCUAGUUGGUAAGGUAACGGCUUACCAAGGCAACGAUGCAUAGCCGACCUGAGAGGGUGAUCGGCCACACUGGAACUGAGACACGGUCCAGACUCCUACGGGAGGCAGCAGUAGGGAAUCUUCCGCAAUGGGCGAAAGCCUGACGGAGCAACGCCGCGUGAGUGAUGAAGGUCUUCGGAUCGUAAAACUCUGUUAUUAGGGAAGAACAUAUGUGUAAGUAACUGUGCACAUCUUGACGGUACCUAAUCAGAAAGCCACGGCUAACUACGUGCCAGCAGCCGCGGUAAUACGUAGGUGGCAAGCGUUAUCCGGAAUUAUUGGGCGUAAAGCGCGCGUAGGCGGUUUUUUAAGUCUGAUGUGAAAGCCCACGGCUCAACCGUGGAGGGUCAUUGGAAACUGGAAAACUUGAGUGCAGAAGAGGAAAGUGGAAUUCCAUGUGUAGCGGUGAAAUGCGCAGAGAUAUGGAGGAACACCAGUGGCGAAGGCGACUUUCUGGUCUGUAACUGACGCUGAUGUGCGAAAGCGUGGGGAUCAAACAGGAUUAGAUACCCUGGUAGUCCACGCCGUAAACGAUGAGUGCUAAGUGUUAGGGGGUUUCCGCCCCUUAGUGCUGCAGCUAACGCAUUAAGCACUCCGCCUGGGGAGUACGACCGCAAGGUUGAAACUCAAAGGAAUUGACGGGGACCCGCACAAGCGGUGGAGCAUGUGGUUUAAUUCGAAGCAACGCGAAGAACCUUACCAAAUCUUGACAUCCUUUGACAACUCUAGAGAUAGAGCUUUCCCCUUCGGGGGACAAAGUGACAGGUGGUGCAUGGUUGUCGUCAGCUCGUGUCGUGAGAUGUUGGGUUAAGUCCCGCAACGAGCGCAACCCUUAAGCUUAGUUGCCAUCAUUAAGUUGGGCACUCUAAGUUGACUGCCGGUGACAAACCGGAGGAAGGUGGGGAUGACGUCAAAUCAUCAUGCCCCUUAUGAUUUGGGCUACACACGUGCUACAAUGGACAAUACAAAGGGCAGCGAAACCGCGAGGUCAAGCAAAUCCCAUAAAGUUGUUCUCAGUUCGGAUUGUAGUCUGCAACUCGACUACAUGAAGCUGGAAUCGCUAGUAAUCGUAGAUCAGCAUGCUACGGUGAAUACGUUCCCAGGUCU
rnacentral:rRNA from 1 species